AGCGAACGCUGGCGGCAGGCUUAACACAUGCAAGUCGAGCGGGCGUAGCAAUACGUCAGCGGCAGACGGGUGAGUAACGCGUGGGAACGUACCUUUUGGUUCGGAACAACACAGGGAAACUUGUGCUAAUACCGGAUAAGCCCUUACGGGGAAAGAUUUAUCGCCGAAAGAUCGGCCCGCGUCUGAUUAGCUAGUUGGUGAGGUAAUGGCUCACCAAGGCGACGAUCAGUAGCUGGUCUGAGAGGAUGAUCAGCCACAUUGGGACUGAGACACGGCCCAAACUCCUACGGGAGGCAGCAGUGGGGAAUAUUGGACAAUGGGCGCAAGCCUGAUCCAGCCAUGCCGCGUGAGUGAUGAAGGCCCUAGGGUUGUAAAGCUCUUUUGUGCGGGAAGAUAAUGACGGUACCGCAAGAAUAAGCCCCGGCUAACUUCGUGCCAGCAGCCGCGGUAAUACGAAGGGGGCUCGCGUUGCUCGGAAUCACUGGGCGUAAAGGGUGCGUAGGCGGGUCUUUAAGUCAGGGGUGAAAUCCUGGAGCUCAACUCCAGAACUGCCUUUGAUACUGAAGAUCUUGAGUUCGGGAGAGGUGAGUGGAACUGCGAGUGUAGAGGUGAAAUUCGUAGAUAUUCGCAAGAACACCAGUGGCGAAGGCGGCUCACUGGCCCGAUACUGACGCUGAGGCACGAAAGCGUGGGGAGCAAACAGG
rnacentral:rRNA from 1 species